AGCGGCGAACGGGUGAGUAACACGUAGGUGAUCUGCCCAUCAGACGGGGACAACGAUUGGAAACGAUCGCUAAUACCGGAUAGGACGAAAGUUUAAAGGUGCUUCUGGCACCGCUGAUGGAUGAGCCUGCGGCGCAUUAGCUAGUUGGUAGGGUAAAGGCCUACCAAGGCGACGAUGCCUAGCCGACCUGAGAGGGUGAACGGCCACACUGGGACUGAGACACGGCCCAGACUCCUACGGGAGGCAGCAGUAGGGAAUCUUCGGCAAUGGGCGAAAGCCUGACCGAGCAACGCCGCGUGAAUGAUGAAGGCCUUCGGGUUGUAAAAUUCUGUUAUAAGGGAAGAACGACUUUAGUAGGAAAUGGCUAGAGUGUGACGGUACCUUAUGAGAAAGCCACGGCUAACUACGUGCCAGCAGCCGCGGUAAUACGUAGGUGGCGAGCGUUAUCCGGAAUUAUUGGGCGUAAAGAGCGCGCAGGUGGUUGAUUAAGUCUGAUGUGAAAGCCCACGGCUUAACCGUGGAGGGUCAUUGGAAACUGGUCGACUUGAGUGCAGAAGAGGGAAGUGGAAUUCCAUGUGUAGCGGUGAAAUGCGUAGAGAUAUGGAGGAACACCAGUGGCGAAGGCGGCUUCCUGGUCUGUAACUGACACUGAGGCGCGAAAGCGUGGGGAGCAAACAGGAUUAGAUACCCUGGUAGUCCACGCCGUAAACGAUGAGUGCUAAGUGU
rnacentral:rRNA from 1 species